rnacentral:lncRNA from 1 species
AACAGUGACCUUGCCAUCAGAAAGAACCUCAUCAGGAAGGACUUUGAGCUCUUAAUUAACCCACCCCUUGGAGAGGCUCUACUUGGACCCACCAAAUUCCAAUCUGUAGGAAAAAAGGUACAGCUAAUUUUCAGGCCACUUCCAAAUACUACAUGAGCUAGUUUGGUGUCUAAUGUAACAAUUGUUUUAGUGGCUCCACAGUUAGACUUGUUGGACACUAAGGAAGCCAUCUAUCAGAGAGUGGGGGCAAAAGCUGACUUGGCAGAAGCUGUCUGAUACUGUGGGUCAUCCUGACCUUGAGACUGCGCAAUGUGCCCUGGCAGAUUCAGAGUGUGUCCUGCUAGAACCCAUGUGCUGGACUCACAUUUCCAGAGAGAAUGAGUGAAAAUUAGCAAGUAAGAUGACUACAUUCAUUGCCUGAAUGCUAGAGAGUGCCGCAUGCCCCCAGAUUAGAUUUGUGGCAUGAAGGCUUUGAUCUCUGCUUCCUACAUGUGUCUGCGAGGAUUGGUACUAUGAGUGUGCAUGCAGCAUGCAUUCAUUACUGCAUCUGAU